rnacentral:rRNA from 1 species
GACGAACGCUGGCGGCGUGCUUAACACAUGCAAGUCGAACGGAAAGGCCCUGCUUUUGUGGGGUGCUCGAGUGGCGAACGGGUGAGUAACACGUGAGUAACCUGCCCUUGACUUUGGGAUAACUUCAGGAAACUGGGGCUAAUACCGGAUAGGAGCUCCUGCUGCAUGGUGGGGGUUGGAAAGUUUCGGCGGUUGGGGAUGGACUCGCGGCUUAUCAGCUUGUUGGUGGGGUAGUGGCUUACCAAGGCUUUGACGGGUAGCCGGCCUGAGAGGGUGACCGGCAAAUGGGGGAGUGAGAAAGGCCCCAGACGCAGAGGGGGGGAAGAGGGGGGAAAAAUGGAAAAAGGGGGGGAGGCCGGAGGAAGAAACGCCGGGGGGGGGAGGACGGCUUUGGGGUGGAAAACCGCUUGCGCCGGGGAGGAAGGGGGGGGGGGGGAAGGGGGAAAAGAAGAACCGGCAAACUACGUG